CCUCUUCAUAGGUGCCUAUGUCUUUUCCCUUGGCUCACCAAGGAGUUUGUAAUCCACUAUGAAAAAUACUGUGUAAGGAUCAAGUAUAAUCUUUACAACAAUACCUUUUCAUGAGAACAAGCAUAACCCACAGAAUACCUUUUCACAAGAGCAAGGAUAACCCCUUGCCUUUUCAAGGAUUAAGCGUAACCUCUUUCUUCUUAAAGGAUUAAGUGUAACUUCUUGCUUUCUCAAGGAUUAGGCUUAACUUUUCUUUCUUACAAGGUCAAAGCAAUGAUACCUUUAGAAGGUGGAUUUUGCUUAGUAAGUACAAUGGAGGAAGAGUUUGGAAAAGCUAAAAAUGAUUUCAAAAGAUAUGAGUGAUAGCACAAGGAAUUUGAAGUUCAAAAGUAGCUCACAAGCUUUUUUGAAGAAUAUGAAUGCCUUGCUCUAACUUGGUUUGUCACGACCCGGAACUCCCAUCGAGCCCGUGACAACCGCCGCGAAGCCUCGAUAGACAUUCUUCACCCCAAAUGCCGAUCGAAACCUCCCAAAGCUCUCAUAUCAGCUUUCGCACUUCCCUGUGAGUAAUAGUUAUCAAAUAUCAUAAUUCGAAGGAUUACGAGUCAUUUCCAAAUCAAAACAUAAAAUAUUGUUUUCUAGCUCACAGGGGCAUUUUCGUCAUUUUUCGUCGAAAAUCUCAAAACUUGCUAAAAAUAUAGUAGGUAAGUAGAAAAUAUAUAUUUAGUGAUUUAAAAACAAAUUAAGUAUCUAAAACGUUCAUUUGAAGUGAAAAUUUGACCAUUUGAAUAUAAUAGAAAUAUUCAAUAAAAUAAACUAUUUUCUUGUAAAAUAAUUUUUUAUAAAGCUAUCGGUAAAUAAUUCUUAUAGCAUAAAAGUUAAUUAUAUUUAUAUAUACUAUAAAGCAAACAACCAAAGCAUAAAAUUACUUUUACAGUGACACGUGGGCCCAUAUCUAACCAAAAUGCAUCGGAAGCUGAAAACCUACAGCUUUUGCCGAUUCAAGUCCAAAUGAAGGUCCUUGUCAAAGUCAGCUAACUAUGGAAUUCCCCGAGCUUGAAAUGUGAGGAAAUGAGGGUGGUGAGAUUAUAAAAUCCCAGUGAGUAAAUAGACACCAUCUAAACUAUCUAAAGGCGAGUAAAUGGAGACGAAUUAAAAUAUUCUUUUCCAAUAUAUGUUUCAUAACAUGAAUAUUCAAUUUACUCAAUUAAUCAACAUGGCUUAUAUAUCUCACAAAACUUGGCUCCUACUAAAAUCAUUCCCGGGGAUGCCUUGGCCUAGGCAUCUAACCGAGACCCCCAAGGCAGUUAAAUGUCUUUACAUCCAAAAUUCUAGCCAUGCCUUGGCGUUGGCUGAGUCUCACUCUCACGCGGUGGUCCACGUGAAGUGCACUCAAAUCUUUACCUCU
rnacentral:lncRNA from 1 species